CCCCUGGCUGCCCCCUUAACAAGGAUCUUAAAAUGGAGGCCCUCCCCACCCCCAGCCUUUGCACAUGCAGAGACACAGACACAUGUGUGCUGACACACCCACGCUGGUUCUCUCUGCAGCAGGGACUCUGCAUGCCUGGUCUCCUUACACAUUUCUGAGGGUAGGACCUUCACCUCUCCCAGGACCCAUGCCUGGUGACUGGCACUGUCCCUUGGUGGAGUGGACAGAGAGCACGGCAAGUACUCCACCUGACUGGCCAAGGGUUGGUACAGCGCUGGGUCAACUUCUCUCCUGGCCUGGCCCCUUCAUGCCUCACUGGAGGCUGAUCAGAGUCCCUGAUGGUCAAAGGGUUUUUUCCCACGGGGACAUCUUGGCUGCAGGAGCUCCCCUGUGACCCCAGAAGGCAAGGGAUGCUCUGCCCGCCCUGACACCCUGUGGCCAUGAGGGACAUGUGACCACAUGCACGUGUGGAGUUCAGGUUCUAGCAGCGCUCGGCCAGCACCGACACGCCCACCGUCACCUCGGACAUCGGCUCUUCAGCUGCCCGCAUCAGCACGAUCUGGAUGACUCGGCCCUCGUAGAUGUGGGCGUCGAAUGUGGACUUCCACUCAGGGUACAUGGUGGGCUUCUUCUGCACCAGCGUCUUCCCGCGCUCUGCGACAUGGCCAGGCAGGCAAGGCCCUCCCGAGGAUAUUUCCACUCCUCGGACUUCACAACUAUGCUCUGCUCCCCUCUCCAGCCUCGUGUCAUUUAUAACACACUCCAUAACACAGAACUCCCCACAGCUCUUCUAGGAUGCCCUGCUUGGUCCCACCUCCAGGCCUCUGCUCUGGCCGCUGCCUCGUCCUGUGACCUCUUCUGUCAGCCCCACUUAGCUGUCACCCCCCUCACGCACUCACUCAGUGAACACACACCGAGGCCCCUCGUGCCAGCCAUGACACUGAAGGUGAGGAACACGGAAGAAAGAGAAGUUAAAACCAGUGUCGGCCUGUCCCCCUAGAUCCCAGUCCAGGACAGAGAUACGAACCCAUUAAUCCCUCAAAUAAAUGUUAAAUCACAGCUGUGAUGAGACUGAAGAGGGCAGGGCCAGGGUUCUAGACCUGGUCUGGAUCAUGGACAGGUGGUAUGUCCCAGGCUAAGGGUCAGGGAAUGCUUCCUGGAAGAAGAGACAGCUCCGCUAAGACCUAAGGGAUGAGCCAGGGAUUCAGCAGGUGAGGGCAAUAGCAAGAAGGAAUGGUGUGAGAUAUUUGCCUCUUGCAGGAAGACCUCCCAGACCUCAGCCUGGGACAGUGCCUCCUAUGGGCUUCCCUAUCACAGGACUCAUUGUCUGGCUCCCACAUCUCACCGUGAGCCCCAUGAGGACAGGGCCAAGUCAGCCCUGGAGCAUGGCAGUGUCCUCAAUGCCCAGCACAGGGUCUGACAUGAGGAAAUUGUUGGGAGAAACCACCAAUGGGGGAGGAGCCAGAAACCCAUUCCCCCACCCCCACCCCUGGUGAUGGCUCCAUGUAGUAAGUGCUAGAGGCCCUAUGCGCACUCGGUGGCCUCUACGGUCCUGCAUCCACAGCUGGGCUGGGCAGGGAGAUGAGCGUGAGGAAGAGAAAGAUCCCUCAGAAGUUCUAGGGGAACAAGGCACAGGUCCUCCAGGCCUCCCCCUGGGCCCUGAUCCCAGUCCUACCUGUGCUGAGUGCCUCCUUCAUCUUCACGGCACAGAAGGGCUGGCUGGCCUCAUCGGCGGCCUGCAGGGAGCCCAGCUCAUAGGAGGUGAAGGCGAUGCGCAGGAACGGGGCCAUGUCAGGGCCUGCAGUGGGGCUGUACAGACAGCAGAGGGGAAGCUGGGCAGUGAGGGACAGCCCUGGGAGGUGCUCGGGUGCCCCCGGGGGCUCUCACCACAUUGAAUUUGGCCCACAUGAUGUGCUGACGAGACACUAGUUCUAGCUGCCACUGUUAAACCUGAGAAAUUCUACGAAAGUCUGGAUUUGUGGCAUCUCUGGUGAAACUGCUGAAUGUGACAUCAAGCCCACUGGGUAGUAGCUGGCUGGUACUACCUCCUUUGUUGAGUACCUGCCAGUCUACGCCAGGCCAGGGGCCCCCUCUUCACUCCUCUCCAAAACCUACCUGGGCCCUGGAGGCAUGUGACUCACUUAUUUGGGGAUCCUUUAAGGCCUCCUUUAACACCCCACGCUGGGUGCUUCCUACGGGCUGAGUACCUAGUCCGUGCUGGCCAAGAGAGGCAGGACAGUACCCCCGCCUCCCUGCACCCUGCUCCUUGCAGCUCUUCUUGGUUUGCAAAGUAUGCUUAUAACUCCCCAAGCAAACAGGGCCAAGAUGACCACCUCCACUUUUCUGACUGAGAAACAGAAACCCUGAGGCUGAGCCAGAACCUAAAGCUGAGAUUGCACUAACUAAGCAUCCACUCCAUUCAGGGACCACCCACCUGCAUCCCUGACCUUCUGAAUCCAAGCCCCUUGGGUUCAGGUGCCUCUCACCUACAGAGGUUGCCUGCACCUUCAAACUAACUUUUUCCAAACAUAAAACUAUUUUAAUGU